rnacentral:rRNA from 1 species
UACAUGUGGGGCAAGCGUUGUUCGGAAUUACUGGGCAUAAAGGGUGCGUAGGCGGUUUGUUAAGUCACUGGUGAAAGUUUUCGGCCCAACCGGAAAAUUGCCUGUGAUACUGGCGAACUUGAGUGCGUGAGGGGUGGGGGGAACGAGCAGUGGUAGCGGUGAAAUGCGUAGAUAUUGCUCGGAAGGCCGGAGCCGAAGGGGCCCCACUGGUACGUAACUGACGCUGAGGCACGAAAGCGUGGGGAGCAAACAGG